UGUGUGUGUGUGUGUGUGUGUGUGUGUGUGUGUGUUGUGUGUGUGGUGUGUGCGCGUGUGCGCGCACAAAGUUUGUUAAACAUACAGAGGGUUUGAAAGAUGUCUGUGCCGAGAACGUGUACAAAAUUGUAAGUGUUCAAGUGUUUUUUCCCUGUUCAAUGUUUUUGUAAUUGCUAAAAAUGUUUUUUUUUUUUUGUGAAGCAUAUAAUAAAUGAAAUGUCCCUCAUCA